GAGAUGUGGAGGAACACCAGUGGCGAAGGCGGCUUUUUGGCCUGUAACUGACGCUGAGGCGCGAAAGCGUGGGGAGCAAACAGGAUUAGAUACCCUGGUAGUCCACGCCGUAAACGAUGAGUGCUAGGUGUUGGGGGGUUCCACCCUCAGUGCUGAAGUUAACACAUUAAGCACUCCGCCUGGGGAGUACGACCGCAAGGUUGAAACUCAAAGGAAUUGACGGGGGCCCGCACAAGCAGUGGAGCAUGUGGUUUAAUUCGAAGCAACGCGAAGAACCUUACCAGGUCUUGACAUCCUCUGACCACUCUAGAGAUAGAGCUUUCCCCUUCGGGGGACAGAGUGACAGGUGGUGCAUGGUUGUCGUCAGCUCGUGUCGUGAGAUGUUGGGUUAAGUCCCGCAACGAGCGCAACCCUUGACCUUAGUUGCCAGCAUUCAGUUGGGCACUCUAAGGUGACUGCCGGUGACAAACCGGAGGAAGGUGGGGAUGACGUCAAAUCAUCAUGCCCCUUAUGACCUGGGCUACACACGUGCUACAAUGGAUGGUACAAAGGGUUGCGAAGCCGCGAGGCCAAGCCAAUCCCAAAAAGCCAUUCUCAGUUCGGAUUGUAGGCUGCAACUCGCCUACAUGAAGCCGGAAUUGCUAGUAAUCGCGGAUCAG
rnacentral:rRNA from 1 species